GACGAACGCUGGCGGCGUGCUUAACACAUGCAAGUCGAACGGAAAGGCCCUGCUUGCAGGGUACUCGAGUGGCGAACGGGUGAGUAACACGUGGGUGAUCUGCCCUGCACUUCGGGAUAAGCCUGGGAAACUGGGUCUAAUACCGGAUAGGAGCCAUUUUUAGUGUGAUGGUUGGAAAGUUUUUUCGGUGUAGGAUGAGCUCGCGGCCUAUCAGCUUGUUGGUGGGGUAAUGGCCUACCAAGGCGGCGACGGGUAGCCGGCCUGAGAGGGUGGAAGGCCACAUUGGGACUGAGAUACGGCCAAGACUCCUACGGGAGGCAGCAGUGGGGAAUAUUGCACAAUGGGCGCAAGCCUGAUGCAGCGACGCCGCGUGGGGGAUGACGGCCUUCGGGUUGUAAACUCCUUUCGCUAGGGACGAAGCUUUUUGUGACGGUACCUAGAUAAGAAGCACCGGCUAACUACGU
rnacentral:rRNA from 1 species